GAGUAACGCGUGGGAAUCUACCCUUGACUACGGAAUAACGCAGGGAAACUUGUGCUAAUACCGUAUGUGUCCUUCGGGAGAAAGAUUUAUCGGUCAAGGAUGAGCCCGCGUUGGAUUAGCUAGUUGGUGGGGUAAAGGCCUACCAAGGCGACGAUCCAUAGCUGGUCUGAGAGGAUGAUCAGCCACAUUGGGACUGAGACACGGCCCAAACUCCUACGGGAGGCAGCAGUGGGGAAUAUUGGACAAUGGGCGCAAGCCUGAUCCAGCCAUGCCGCGUGAGUGAUGAAGGCCCUAGGGUUGUAAAGCUCUUUCACCGGAGAAGAUAAUGACGGUAUCCGGAGAAGAAGCCCCGGCUAACUUCGUGCCAGCAGCCGCGGUAAUACGAAGGGGGCUAGCGUUGUUCGGAAUUACUGGGCGUAAAGCGCACGUAGGCGGAUCGAUCAGUCAGGGGUGAAAUCCCAGGGCUCAACCCUGGAACUGCCUUUGAUACUGUCGAUCUGGAGUAUGGAAGAGGUGAGUGGAAUUCCGAGUGUAGAGGUGAAAUUCGUAGAUAUUCGGAGGAACACCAGUGGCGAAGGCGGCUCACUGGUCCAUUACUGACGCUGAGGUGCGAAAGCGUGGGGGAGCAAACAGGAUUAGAUACCCUGGUAGUCCACGCCGUAAACGAUGAAUGUUAGCCGUCGGGCAGUAUACUGUUCGGUGGCGCAGCUAACGCAUUAAACAUU
rnacentral:rRNA from 1 species